GUAACUUAAUCUGUUUUAUUUGGGAUUUUAUACGUAAUAAACUGGAUAUAACAUCGGUAUAAAAACAUCAAAUUAUAUUCUUUUGUAAUUAGGAUAAAAUACCUGCUCUCAAAAGUAGUUUAUUUUUAACAAAGCAAUGUUAAUUUUUGAGCAUGAAAUAUCUAAAUGCUUGAAUCCGAAGAAUCCUCAUGCAAACGUGUUUUACACCAGUCUCUGCACAGCCUGCGCUGUGAAUCGCUCAGGAAGCAGCGGGGCUGGUUAUUUUGUGGAACGCAUUUCCUAAGCAGGAGGAUAUGGACAUCUAAAUGAAUUGAAACAAAGCAGGUUAAUUAUUCAGGGACCUCAGACUAAAAUAAGUUAAGUCACAAAUAAUGCGUCAUGUGCUCUCAUUAUAACCUGAGCGGUGCUAAAUUACUGCGAGUAUCGCCCCUCGCUCUAAGACCAGUAUUUGCUGUCUGAUUAGAGGUUUGUUUUCCUUUUUAGUAUCUAUUUGGCUUUUUUCAAAAACAAGGUCCCUUUUCAGCUGCACAUUAGUACUUUGAUAGGGCUAAAGCCGCGUUUCUGCUAAAUGACUCGUGAUUUCUGGCUUUUGUGAAGCUCGCAUAAAAUGGGGUGAGGCAGCAGCAUUCUGUGCAGAUCGUUAUUAAUUCCUCUCUCAAUACAAAUAAUAGCCAAUAGCAGAGAAUACCAACUUUUAGAGCAACAUCCACAAAGCUUUAUCUUCUCAAGGUGAUGCCCUUCAGCAGAGGACGAAGCACGGUUCUUAGUUCAGCAGUUCUGUCAAGUCUGAGGCAGUCAUUUGAUUUUGCUUUUAUACAUAUGCUUAGGUGUUCAGAAAAUUCCUGUAUGUAGAAGAGAAGUCCUGAAUACUAUAAGGCUAGGUCAACGGCAAGGAGGUGGCUUUCCAAAUUCUUACCGUGGACGUUUCCUGGGAUCUGACUUUAUUCUGACUUUGACUUGCUUCAGGGUAAGCAGCAGCGUGCACAAAUCUAUGAAUCAUUCCCCAGCUGAUUUCCAUUUUAGCAGACCCGGUUCUUGCUCGGAGUUGUUCAUGUACUGCAGAAGAAACAGUGGUGUUAAACGUCUGCAAUUUUGUCCCUUUUGCGAGAGGAGAAGGCUGAAUAUUUAUUUUCAUUUUAAUUUUAUGAGCAUUGUUGAUGAGGAGGCUGGGUUAGAAGCAAACCCUGUGUAUAAUUUAUUGUUCCCAGUAUUUGGAAGGUCUCCGUAGCCGUCUUGUGUCUACCUGAUCAUACAGAAGUUGACGCUUCUCACUUAGCAGGAGACUGCAAAGUAAGUCUUGGUGACUAAGGGGACAAAUUGAGACCAAACCAUUGCAAGUUCCAAAUAAACUCACUGCAGUGACACAAACACUGGUGGGCUGUUCACCAUUUGUUCCCUUACAUGAAAAUUGAGGAUCGUUUUUAAAGAUCUGGUGUAACAGAAGCACCAUGUUACAGGCUUGUUGCAGAAGUUACUGCAUGGUCUCUGAUCUCUUUGACGUACACGAGCAAGUUGUCAAGAGCAGUAUUAAGAGUCUUCUGAGGCCAGAAGGCAGCAUGUCUUGCUUGUAUGCAGUUUCUCUUCUCUCCUGUGCAACCAGGGCUAUCAGUUUUGUGGUCUGUGAAAUCUGAGGAUUGGGUUAUUUUAUAGAUCUUAACCAAAUAUGCUUACCUGUCUCCUCACACAGCAACAGCAGCAACAAACCACCAGUUCUAAUUCCAGAAUUACACGAUGCUCCCGGGGUUAAUCCUGCAUUCAGUAUCUUUGGACCCAUGUAUACAGAAAGCAUCAUCAAUGUUUUCCAUCCGCCACCAAAAUCCAAGAUGCUCCUGUGCUGGACCACGACAGCAGCAGCUUUGCAUCGGGCAGCGUUGGUUUCCAUGGGUGCAGGCAAGACCCAGCGAGAGGUCUUGUGCCUGGACUUCAACACAGACUCACUCACUGCCCACGUCUUCAUCGUGCCCAGGCAGAUCCGGGUGGCAUCAGGCGGAAGAAAACUCUUUGCUGCUCUUACGCUUGACAACGUGUUAGUCCCAGCUUUCAGUGCAGAAGGUCCAGGUCACAGGACGAAGUUGGAGCUUGCAGUAGGGGCCAGAGCCAUUGGGUAUGCCGGAAAAGACAACUUGGCUGCCUUAUUUACCACCUGACGACACUUGUUAUGGAGAUGACGACUGCCUGGGCAAUUUUUUUCUUGGGAACUCCUCACAUUCUCAUUCAGAAUUUGAGAAAUGGAAGGACUUCAGUGAGCCACAGACACCAGUAAGAAAACUCUCCUGUGGGACAUGAGAUAACUUCUGAUUUCUAAAACAGAAGAGAAAUUAUAUCGGAGAAGAAUAUUGUAAACUGAAUGGAAGCUGAAAGCUGGGGCCUCCUGAGUGAAAGAAAAUCAAUCUCAAUUCUGUAUUUUCCUUCAAGGUUCAUGAAAUGAGCGUUUUAGCUCCUGCUCACCUAAAAAUGUUGGAGAGUCUCCACUUGUACCUUGCUGUUGAAGCUUUACGCACGCACACCUACACGUGUUUGUUCAGACGCCGUCUUCUCUUCCAGCAGCCUGUGUAGAGAAUUUAUACCCCACUAUUAAAUUAUUCACAGUUCUAAAGGAAAAACCAGCUGUGUCAGAGGUGCCUGAAAUGUGGUUUAGUCGUUGAGCUGGGAAGUACAGCACUGGGCACAUGAGCCCCGGUUUUUCGGUCAGCGCUGCCUUCUCAUCCUUCCCUGUUUGCUCCAGUGUCAUCCUCAUUGUUCACCGCUCAGCCUUUCUGAAGGCUGCCAACAAAACAGCUGAAUCAAGAACCUGAGGCUGAAGUGAGAGGAUGAAUUCCAGCUCCGCCGGCCGAGCCGGCCCCCGGUGCUUGAGCUUUGGAAGACUGCAAAUUAAUGAGGCUCUCAGUCAGCUGCCUGCCUGACCUGUCACACAAGGAGAGCCUGACAUGCUUUCUGUAAUUCCUCCUAGGAUGGAAAUGGGCGUCCUUCGUAUUUGCUUUCUCAGUACUUCCUUCAUCAACUAAUCUUUGAAGGCUUCUGCAUGCUCCACAGCAGGCCUGUGCCAACGCUGCGCUCCUGGAGGCAUCUCCCGUACCAUUAGUGGUCAGCAGAGAGGUGGCUGAUCUGUGCCAAGACCUGCUUUGGGGAGCCAACAAGGUUGGCCUGUUCAGAGGAGGUGAUCCUUAAAUUGAAUUGCAGCCCUCCAAGGCGUGUUUGGAUGUCAAGCACUGCCAUGAUCUGACAUGUUAAUGGCUUUGAGAAAACAAUGUGUUUCAGAGGUAAUUGCUGAAGCAAUGAGUUCCCAGCAAUAUUUUACUUAAAAGAAAUGUGCUGCUUCUCUACUGUGAAGACUGGAACAAUGACACCGAACAACUGAGUGAUACAAAUCUCUGCUUGCCUUUUAAUGGUCAUUAAAUUCUUCUAAUAGACUGGAGCAGGACCUUUCUCCCAUCCAUUGUUGGGAGCUGAGUACAGCAUUAGAAUCAGACAUGAUGUUGUUAUUGUAACUCGACUUCAGAAUUUAUUUUGUUAAAACAAGAAAUAUUUUAAAACUCAUAGCAUAAACCUGAAAAAAGCUCCCUAAAUUAAAACCCCGCUAUUUGUCUCUUCCACCGAGGGUCAUCUUCACUUUACCAGAUCAUCCCAACCACGACAAUGAUUCGUAGCAAUCCUGUUGCUGCAUGUUCAAUGCUUGUCUUUUAAUUAAUGUGCAGAAGAAAGGAUGGAGAAAAGGGCACACCAAGUUUCUAAGAAAAUGACAUUCCUCGUGCCUGAUAAUCAGCAACAAAGACAACACGCUAGAGGAGUCUCCCACCAAAUGACCCAUGGUUGUCUUCAGAAAGUUCAAGGCCUGACAAUGUGUUUAAGACUUCAGCACAGGACCUCUGAUAUCCCAAGGGCAAGUGGAUGGCAUUUCUUUCCUCUCUUGUGGCCUUCGGUUUUGCAGUAGACUAACCAGCCAGGCUUGUCCUCUUUAGUGCAUGGGCUGAUAUUAGGGGAGCUGCUAUCUUAAAAGCAUUUUUGCCUCAAUACUAGACAAAUUUUGUAUUGCUCGGUAAUUGAAAGUUACUCUGAGCAUAGUAAGCUUGACAAAGCUGUUCUGGUUGGGUGAUAUCCUUGGCUAGGUUGGCAUGAUGACAAGACAACAGUUACUAGUCUUAAUAAGCUCUUAAGCCUACACAGAAGGGAUUUUGAAUAAUAUACAAGCCAAUAAUAGAAUUGUCAAUAGCGAUUAUAAUUAAUGAAAUGUGUUGUCAGUAACAGGGAACUGUUCAGUGGUGCCUCCUUGCCAAUACACUCAGGAAGGAAUCUGUGCUGUGGAACUUCAGGUAGGCUGCAGAAUGCAAACCAUUCUGUGGUGUGGCAGGUGUGGUUUUUGUGCGAGGCGUUAGAAGCAUGACUCGCUGGAGUAUGCAAGUACCAGGAUUCCUGCUGCCACAAAGGUUAACAGAGAACAGGAGAGUAAUUCACAGGCCUGUGAUGUGCAGGUCAGUGGGAGGUUUUUGGUGCCCUGCAGAGGGAUGUGACUUCAUCUAGGUUGGAAGGAAGGCUGUGGGGAAUAACCUCAAAGAUAAGUACAGGAGCACGGUUCUCGAAAUGGAAAGCAAAAGAAAGCUUUCAUUAAUUCCAUGCUGGACUGAGAGGAGCAGAAAGCAAUCUCAUCAAGUUAAAACUGCUGAACAUAGCUUUGCAUCCUUAUACCAGGGACGUAGCUAUAAUUCAUGCAAGCCAGUCAACAGGUAUGUGAGCCACAGGGCUGCAUAAUAAGCUUUUAAUGUCUACAAGACCAGGGUUGCUUAUUAAAUAUUCCUUCCACUCGCUGCAAAACGGUACAGUCUUCACAGUGAAGAGGUAAACAGUCUGACUGUGUGUCUUCAGGUGGGCUCUUCAGGGGUAGGAUUUUGUCAUCUGCUGCACCAUGUGCUUUAGUUUCCUACAACGUAGGCUGCUGCACUGUAGUUAUCAAGUGUCUGUGCAUUGGUACGUGUUCAGGGAAUGAAAGAUUUCUGAGCUACUUUAUGGAAAUGGUCAGAAGGGAGGAAAGGCAGCAUGUGUUUUGCACUGGUGGCUGGGUUGGUGCAGGUAAGACAGACCAGCAUCAGAGAGUGAGGUCUGUGGUGUUCUGUAAAUUCCGUGAGGUGUUUACGUGAGCCUUGAAUUCCCCUUCCCUCCCAAGAUCAGUUGAAAGAGCUUUCCUUGCUUUCCUACCUGACACCACCACCCUGCUUCCCGAUUCCGCUCACUUCGCUACUGCUUUGGCAGAGGCUGCGAGGUUAGGUUAAAAAUUCUGCCUUUGUCAUCUAAAUUCUUUUGAAUGUUACAGAUUACACCCUUUCUCUGCAGCUUCCUUGCUUGCAUAUGAGAAUGCUCUUCCUCUGUUUUGCCAGGGAAUUUCCAUAUCUUUAAGUACUGCUUAUUGUCUUAGAAAGGACAGGUCCUUAGACUUUCUGCAUCCUAAAAACAGUAUCUCAAAGGAAUUGUAUAUUUUUUACUCAAAUUUGUGUCCUUCUGCUGAAACCUCUGUGACUCAGAAAUUCUAAGAGCUGCUACCUCUAUUCUCAACCCUUUUAUUUCAUGGAGGCCACAUGAUAUGCUUUGUUUUAAUGCUAAAGUAACCAAUUUUGUCUUAUUCUGUCUGCUUUUGACAUUGCUUGUCCUCUGCUGAGCUCUCUUGAAGUGUCUGCAGCGUUGGUCAAAUUUACUAUUAAUGGCUCAAAUCUCACCUCUUGGUUCAUUUGUUUGAGAGAAGCAUGACCUAUGGCACCUUAAUCAUCAAAAGAGCAGGAAAGAUAUUUAUGUUCUUCCCAACUGAGACAUCUCUCCAGCUUUCCUCAUCCCUGGAUGGGCUGAAUGUUACCACUGGAGUCCAGGGGAGAACUCUUGCAUAACUCGUCACACUUAUGUAGUGACCUUACUGUUUUUUAAGAUACUUUAAUGGCAUUUGUGCUUCAAAACAUUAAGAGUUUUAAAACAGAAAGGAGGGAUUGAUGGCUGAUACUUGUACGAUUUCAGCUGAUAGCUGACAUGCAUGCUUACAUGUCAAUUUUAGCUUAUUUUGGGGUAAAAAAAAAAAAGUAGAUAAAAUAUACAUACAUUUUUUAAUAUAUAUAUUUCCCAGUCAAAGUGCAUGUUGUAGAGCUUAGGGAUAUGGUUUAGUGGGGACUGUUAGUGUUAGGUUAGAGGUUGGACUCGAUGAUCUUGAGGUCUCUUCCAACCUAGAAAUUCUGUGAUUCUGUGAAUACCCAACCCCUGGUCACUUUGGAGGCCUGUUGUUCCUUGCUCGUUCUCCUGGUGGCAGUUCUCUCUUUGUUUGAACUGGUUGAAAUGCUGGUCACUGGGGAACAGCUAAAUGGGACAGUGUGGCUAACGGUGGCAUGCAGUGGAUGACUGCCUGGUUGCAUUGGACUCUGGUAGGCAGAGCACGUAUUCAAGAGAUGGAACUUCACUAUUCCUUAUGUGCUGUCUUCAGAAGCAGCAGAGCUGGACUGAAAGGUACCUAGAUGCACACCCUUCCUUUUAUUUUCUGCCUCUUCACAGCAUUCUCCCCUAAAGCAGCAAGGCAGCGUAGGCACCAGCUGUACAUUUUCUCCAACCUACUGUCUUGGGCUUUUUUCAAGUCUCCUUUCCAUCACUCUGUACGGUGCAGUAGCAUCUCUUGAUCGAAGCAAAGCUUAUUGCCCUCCCGAGUCUCAGUCCUCAUCCUGUUGGUGUCCAGAGAGCCACGGGGCUGAGCGACAAGAAGUCAGCUGGAACAGUGAGAUUAAAAUGUCCCAAUACAGAAGGCACGCUCCAUUGAAGCCCCAGAGCUUGUUCCACAACCCUUAUCAUUUAAGUGUUAUUCUUCAUCUGUAAGGCACCAAACUGAUUUAUUAGAUGCCAUUAGAAAUAUUUUCACCAGAAGCUGUUAGUCAAUAGGUACUCUGCUGUACUAGAAAAGGAAAAUGAUUGUUCUUGCUGGUAUUGCUUCUCAGAGAGAGCAGCACUGUUGCCAUGCUCUUCACCAGACGUGUAAGGAUUCUGAGUUGUACAACUCAGAGAGACAUCGUCUCUCCUAGAAGUUUACAUUAUAGUAAGGGGACACUAGACAGAAAACCUAAGAGCAGACACCACAUCGUGCCAGAGGUCUGUGUGGUUCAGAAACUGGUCUAAUGGGGGAGAAGGUUAGAACGGGGUAUGUGUGUAUAUGGCUGCCCUCGUGCCUCUGGAAGAGGAGUGAGCACAGGGUUUCAGGCUUUAUUGCUUUGUAGGUGAAGAACAGUGCUAGAUCACCUGUCUGCAAAGCCACAGCUGAAUUCUAUGGAGAGUGUUGUGCACGUGCAGGUACUUUUUCAGAAGCAGGUAUGCCUUGUAAAAAUCCCCUCAUUCCCUAACUGCUCUGAAUUCAGUGUAAAAAUCUGUAGCAGCUGGUAGGGGUGUAGGAAAUCAGAAGUUUAAUGCUUUCGGUGAGAACUCAAAGUACCUGAAGAUUUUUUUUAGCAUCUUUGGGAUGAAUACUUGGCAAAGGGUUAAACAGCAGCCAAAACAAUUCAUUGCAAGAUCUUCAAAGCAAAUCAGAUUUUUUAAUUAUAUCAAAUUAAGGUUAUUAAAAGUUAAGUUCUGAACUGAGAGCAUUUUCCGAUGAAAGGUGCUGCAACAUCAUUAUUUCUCCCCAAAACGCACUUACUGUACAUUUCUCAAAGCCAUCAGCCUUGAUUGAAAGCUAAUGAAAAAGCUGUCCUGCGUCAGUUUAUUCCUUGUAUCCAUUAAGAAUAAUUACGGCUGAACAAUUUUUGAUGCCUGUAACCUUCGCAAGUGUUGCUAAUGGCAUUAUAAAUUGCUCCUUGUCCAAUGACUACAGUCUGAAGCUUAAUUCAAAAGCGCUCUGUCAACAGGGCUGAUUUGUGUGGUUAAUGAGUGCGUUUAAAACAACAGCCUCGGCUCAUGCAUCCUAAUGUCGAUAAGAGGAUGUGGUUCAAUAAAGAGGCUUGUCCGUAAUAAUUAGCAGCGACAAAUGCUCUGGAUUAGACCGAUCGCAGCAUUAAUGACUCUGCUUUCAGCCCGUUACAGGAAAAAAAGUUUCCAGCUCUAACUUUUGGGGGCUCAGAUUCGGCUUUAGGGAACGGACUUGGACAAGCCAGUGCUGUGCCUAGCUGAACACCAGUUUUGGCACACGCUGUGUCUCUGGAGUCUCUGAGUGGUCCAGGACCUCUGUAGUGACUCUGAUGGCCAGAAUCAGAUUUUCUGCAACCUCUUUUUGCCAAAAGCCCAGCACUGAGCGAGUGGGGCAAAUCUGCUUUCCACCACCUGUAAGUUAUGAGCUCUGUGCUGUUGCUCAUAGCCACAAUGGCAUUGCUGUUGCUUUUCCAGGACUGCCUUGUUCCACAGAGUUCGGUUUUGCCUUUUCCAGCUGUGGCUUUGCAGAGUGCAGACCUAACCUGAGCUGUGCACAGUGAGGUCUUGGUGGUGGAGAGAAUGUGUUGAGAGUCAUACCUGCAGGGAAACCUCAGGGGGCAGGAGGAGGGUCGGAAAUCAGUGACAGUGAGCGUGGCAGCUGGGGAGGGGGAUGAAACAGGAUUCCUGACAGACAGCGUCAGUUUGUCAGCUCUGCCAAAGGUCAGGUCCUUCAGACAGCCUGGAAGCUGAGGGACGUUCUGCUAAAUCUUGUCACUUUUUUUCUAAAACAGAGCAAACCAAAAAUAGUUUUAGACUUAAGCUUUGAGGAUUCAUAUGCAUUUUCAGGAUACGGAUUCAGCUCUACCUCACCAUGAGCCACUGAGUUUCAUUCUAAGUUGCUCAGGUGUUGAUGGUAACAGCUCAAACGCCUUGCAGCCAAGUACUGUUACACCUAUCUCAGCAAUAUAAAUCCAUCCCUCAAUUUAGAAAGUAAAAAUCACCACACACAGCUACAUGAAGUAUAUUUUUUCAUCCCUUUAACUUAAAAGCUUGCAAUACAGUGUAUUGCAAGAAAAAAUGGUGUGCAAAAUACGUUUCCUUCUGUUUGAGCCAGAAUGGCUUGACAUCUAAAUAAAGCUGGAGACUUCUGUUGGGAAAGAGUACUUUGGGUUUCUUGCAAAAAUGUAUUCUGAUCUGUUCCUAUCAAAGGGCGAUGUAAAAAAUCCAUUCUUGAAACUUCAAAUUGCCAGUAAUUGAACAUUAAUUACUCUUCUGUAACUGUAAGUGAAGGUGUAUCUAACAGACACAAAUAACAGACAAAGGAAAACAGAUGGAUGUAUCCUGUUUUGAUAUCAAAAUAUUUUUUUCAUUUUUCCAUUCUCCUUGAUAUAAAAAUGUUCCUUUUAAUAAUGACAUGACUUAAUACUUCAAAAAUUUGUUCUUGUUUUGCCACAACAGUAAUUAAUCUAUCAUUAUCUUUGCAUUUUUACCACAUUGCUUUUCUCUAAUUGGGAUGUAUUUAAAGCAUGGAAUACAACUGAAAUACAGAUUAAAAACUUUUUCUGAAGAUAUUUUCCCAGGAAUGUUCUUCCACAGUAUUUAAAUUAUUUAACCAAAGGUCUAUUGGCAGAACAAUGAAUUCAGUAUUAUUUUCCCUUACAAUGAAAGGCAUCUUCAAGUGCAAAGUGAUCGAUCAGAGUAAAAACUCUGGUAAUUUAAAAUAAUCUCUCCAAAAUGUGCUCUGAGAGUAGGACAUAUAAUGCACUCGGGUGCUUCUCUGAGGUAUGUGAAGGAGUUACCUCAGUUUAUUGCUUUUACAAAUUUUCUCCCUCCCUCACAUUUCUUUCCUUUUUCCUUCAGAGCUUAAUACAGAAAAAGGAAAUUGCAGGUUAAUAAGAGAGAAGAUAGAAAGCAGAAAGGCAGCUGAAGAGGUAGGUUCAGAACCAGUCAAGUCAGCGGGAACCUCUAGACCCAUUAAUAAAAUUUUAUUAAAGAGGAGAGAGAGAAGAAGAAAUAAGAAUGUGAAAGACAGCAGAUCUAAAAGCAGAGAAAUAUGGGGUGGAAAGAAUCAUUGAGAUAGGAGUAAUGCGGCUUGACAAAAACAAAACAAAAAAAACACAAUCAACCAACCAAAAAAACACACAAGGAACCUGCUGUAGUAAACCUUGUUAGAAAUGUGAUAGUCUGAGCAGCAGAAAUACCUUUUAACUAUGUGAGGAUUGUAAUGUGUUUAUCUAUACUUCCUAUGUCUUGUUUCAGAAGAACUGCUGAAUAAUCUUUAUCUACUGACUUUGUACGUCAUUCAUGACUUUGUAUACCUUUAAUAAUGUAUUUCUCCUCUGGUGCCUCCGUUCCAACCUGAAGAGGUUUGUCUGUUUAGUCCCUCCUUACAAGAAAUGUGCCCAGUGUCUCUGAUGAUCACUUUGUCCUACUUUACCUUACCUAAUUCUGCCAUGGUAUGGGCAGUUGUGUCCUUCUUGAAUCUGUCAUCCAAAUUAAUUUCUAGCCAUCUGUGAAAUGAACUCCGGAAUAAGGUACCAGAACUUCAUGGUGGCUGCAUACGUACAGUGGGAAAACAGCUUUUGAAAUACGAGUCAGCUGAAAGGUAAAGUGCUGUGAGCCUCUCUGAAGGUGUUUGCCUCUGACAACUUACAGUAAGCUUUCACAAAAUAGAGAAUAAUAUAGGAUAAAUACUAAAUUCAAGCAGUAACUUAUUGUGAUUCUUGUUUAUCAGAAUAACGUAUGUUGUCGUAAUUUCAGCCUGCUCAGGGGAGUAGACUCCAUUCUACCUGUAAUGUGGGGUGUCACAGAAAAUCAGACAAGAAAUUCCCUGUUCUUUUUACCGUGGUACAGUACUCUUUGUGUCCUGGAGUUUGUUAACACAGUUUGAAUCUUUCAGCUAGUGUGUAGAGUUACUGUGUUAGUGCAGUGUGUACUGAGAAAAGUUUGUCAUCUCACAACGGAAUACAUGUAGAUUCAUUCAAUUUCAAAAUACCAGGAUUUUCCUGUUUUCUAUGGAAUUCCCAAAUGCCAGAAUUCUGUGUUACUGACUGUGACAAAAUGGUUAUUUUUGUUAGGUCAAAAGGUCUGGAAUACAGUAGGCUAAAGAAGGCAAUGAUUUUGAAUGGCAUGGCUUCAUUCUCCUGCACCCGGAGAGGAGCUGUCCGGCUGAUCAGGUUUCAUACCCUGGUUUACAGAGCAGGAGCAAGCCCGUCGUGUGAGAUCUCCUCCGUGCUUAGGAUUCCCGCACCUCAGAAGAGAAAGCAGGUUUCUUCAGUCAGAGGCUGGCGGGGAGUCUGUCCGUCCAUCCGUCCGUCUGUUCCUGCCUCUCCCCUUCCCCCACCGCCUUCCCGGGGAGCUGUGGCUGCGUGGGCACUAAUGUAUUCCGUAUAAUGUUAGGGGCUAGCUGCAUGUACCUUCCCACCAACAGCCCUAUGAAUUAUUGACACGAGGGAUGUUCCCUGGUGUAUACUUUUCCAAGGUUAUACUCUCUGAUAUUAGAUAUUUAUUCGGCAUAAGGUAGGGAUAAGAACCUCAUUGCCACAUUAUGUCUGACACAAUCAAGUUUUGGGGAAUUUCAACAACAUUAGAAGAUUUGUAUAAUGUAUUCUUUUAGAGGCAGAGGCUCAGCUUUAAACAAAGCAUAAUCCCUACUGCAUAUCAUUUCCAACCUAAUGCAAGGAGAAGAAGCGGGACCAUAAUGCUAUCUGCAUCAUUUCCCUUUUGUGUUCAGUUGCAAGGACUAUUCACCUAAUAUUCAAAAUCCGUGUAUUCAUUAAAUGGAACAGAAUGAUGGAAAAGCUAAAAAAUGUAAGAAAAGAAUGAAACAGAUUUCCAUGAAAGUGGCAUAAAAUUGAGUUAUUACAUCUAGAUAUAUGAUAAAGUAUUUGGAAAUAAUUAAAUAGUUGAUAUCCACAACCUUUUCCAGUUCUUGAACACUGCAGUUUUUUUAUUUCUGAUGCUAACAUUAUUCCUAAUUCCUUUGAAUCAAAUAUUGCUUAUUUUUAUGUUUCUCCUAUCUGUAACAGCAGGAUCUUGUGAACACUUCAUCCAUUGUGUCACCCAGUCGCUCCUUGUCAGCCGCUUUGUUAGCCUCAGCCUCUGGGGUUUGUGUCCUGGCCAGUGGACCUUUUGUACUCCCUGCACUGUACUCUUAGACAAUGGGGAAAAAAAUAAAUCUUCUGUGACAAGUUUACUUAAAGGGACACUAUCGCAUUAAAUAACUGUAUAAAUAUAUCUACAAAUAAUAUCAUUCCUCUGGAAAUUUUGGAAGAAAAAUGUUUUCCUCGGUUCAGUUAGUUAACACCCUCGUCUGCUAGCAACGCGGUAAUUGUGAAAGUCGUGUCAUUUUUCACACUUCAGGCUGUUUCUUUACCCAGCGCUUUUCAGAAGCUAGGAAAACAGGUCAGUUAUUUUACCGUUUGUUUUUAGUCAGCAUUCGGGAUCUGAAUAUUGUGUGCUGCCCCAGUGGGAGGCUGGGAUGCAAAUAUUUUAAGGGAGCGCUCAGGCUUAAAACAGACGGUUCUAUUUCUAGCGAAUUGCUUAUGGAAAGAAGCCAAAAAAGCAUAUUUGCUAAUGAUCAGGAUUGUAAGUUAAAGAACAUAAACAAAUCUGAACAUUUUUAUGCAAUUGACCUAGUCUUUUCCAGCAGAAAUUUCUUUUAAAAUAGGACAUCCUCAGCUCUACCUCCUUCUUCCGCUCCUUUUUAUUUUAUGUAACUUUAUAAAUUUGCUCAACGUAAUUAUCUUUGUUGUAUAAUUCAGCUGAUUUUACUGAGUUAAUGGAACUGGAGUGUUUUUAUAGUCAUCCUAGUGUCUACUGUUAUUAAAGCCAGCUAUUUAUAAGUGA